UACGAAGGCCCCGAGCGUUAUCCGGAUUUAUUGGGCGUAAAGGGUGCGUAGGGGGUGCGGUACGUCUGCUGUGAAACCUCGCUGCUCAACGGCGAGGCUUGCGGUGGAUGCGGCCACACUAGAGGGUGCGAGAGGUCACUGGAACACACGGUGUAGGGGUGAUAUCCGUUGAUAUCGUGUGGAACACCAAAGGCGAAGGCAGGUGACUGGCGCAUUCCUGACCCUCAGUGCACGAAAGCGUGGGUAGCGAAUGGG
rnacentral:misc_RNA from 1 species